rnacentral:rRNA from 1 species
UACAGAGGGGGCAAGCGUUGUUCGGAAUUACUGGGCGUAAAGGGCGCGUAGGCGGCCGCCUAAGUCAGACGUGAAAUCCCUCGGCUCAACCGGGGAACUGCGUCUGAUACUGGGUGGCUUGAAUUCGGGAGAGGGAUGCGGAAUUCCAGGUGUAGCGGUGAAAUGCGUAGAUAUCUGGAGGAACACCGGUGGCGAAGGCGGCAUCCUGGACCGACAUUGACGCUGAGGCGCGAAAGCCAGGGGAGCAAAGCGGG